UAAGGAAUAUUGCGCAAUGGGCGAAAGCCUGACGCAGCGACGCCGCGUGGGGGAUGAAGGUCUUCGGAUUGUAAACCCCUUCGGGAGGGAAGCGGUACUCCAGAAGCAGCCACGGCCAACUUCGUGCCAGCAGCCGCGGUAAUACGAAGGUGGCAAGCGUUGUUCGGAUUCACUGGGCGUACAGGGUGUGUAGGCGGUUUGGUAAGCCUUCUGUUAAAGCUUGGGGCCCAACCCGGAAAGCGCAGAGGGUACUGCCAGGCUAGAGGGCGGGAGAGGAGCGCGGAAUUCCCGGUGUAGCGGUGAAAUGCGUAGAGAUCGGGAGGAAGGCCGGUGGCGAAGGCGGCGCUCUGGAACGUACCUGACGCUGAGACACGAAAGCGUGGGGAGCAAACAGGAUUAGAUACCCGUGUAGU
rnacentral:rRNA from 1 species